UUUUACAUUUGAGCCCUAACGGAUGGAGACAAGCUAACAUAAAUGAUGGGGUAGACACUAACACCACUAGGCUUGUUCCUGUAUAGUCCACGUGGCCUCAUAAGGCAAGUGAUGAAUUGGAUUUUAUAUUGCUGGGAAAUAAAAAUGAGCACUAAAGCCUUGCGCUUGGUCCUCACAAUCUUCAACAGAUGUAAAAUCUGGUGCAAACUCAUUUAUGUUAAUUACUAAUGCUGAUGUUCGAAUUGUUGGUGGUUUAGGCACAACUCAAGGUGUUAAAGAUAGUUUUGACGAAUCCAUCAUUUUAUCAAUAGAAAUUGACGAAUACAUGGAUGCACACUCAUAUAUGCAAAGUGUAUGAGGUGGUCCUUCUGGUGCCACUACUAAAAAUAGUAGUGUAAGCAGUAAAAAGAAACAAAAAAUUGUUGCUAGAGCUGCUAACAUUGUUCUGAGUAGCAAAGAUAAAGGUAGCCUAAGGACAGAGCUUCGUCGAAAAAGAAGAGGGGAUCGCACUGAAACAUCUAUUAAUUUGCUCAUAUUAUCGUAACUCAUUCUCAUGUAAUUUCUCCCGCUAACUCCCCACAACCAGCAAGGUCAGUUAAUGAUGACGUCUUUGAGGUCACUGUCGCUUAUGGCCCUUUGAUGGGUCUAUGAAAUUCCAUACCCCCUGGUGGUCAAAAAGGGACUUGUUUCCUUGGCGCAAGCAACUUAGCUUGAAGAAGUUUCCCUUCAGCCUUGAUGAAGUGAUGAAGCAAUGAAAUAAUCUCUUACCUGAAGAAAAAAAAGGGCUUUUUUGUCCAAACAAAUCAGGUGAGCGAUCUAAUGAAACAAAGAAGCUUUACUGCAUGAGUUAGCAGUCUCCUUACAAGUGAUGUUGAAUGAAGCAUGUCUGGCUAGCCUGGGCUCAUUGAAGGCAUGAACAAGGUAGAAAUUAGGAGGAGGAAUAGGAAAACGUGUACCAAUCUAUUGUGGGAGCACUAGCAUAGGCACGUGAACACUAUGCCAACUUAGUUGAAGAGAAUAAGAAACUACUGGAGCAAAAUAGAAGGCUAGAAGAACAUCUUACCAUUGCUGAGAAAGAUGUUGAAAGAUUACAUAGGGAGAUCACAUGUGAGAAAGCUGAUAAGAUGGUACUGGAAGUUAGUUUAAGGAAAAUGAAUGAAGAACAAAAGGUUGCAAUGGUUAAUUCAGCAAAGAGCCAUGAGGAAGUCUUGGAGAAAUAUAAGAGAAAUACUAUUCAGAGUCUCCAAGAAUAUCUACUUGAUCUAAAGGCUAACUUCUUUUUGCACGCUCAAGUAGUUGGUGUCCAUUUUGAUGCUCGCAGGUUAAAUUUUGAUGCUCUUAUCAGUUAACUGGUGUUCAGCUAGAUUUUGAUGUUCACUCCCCCUCGAGAGCAACCUGGGAGGAAUUUACAGAAAAAUAUAAGAACUCUGAUAAUUUUGACCUCCCUGAGGACCUUACUGAGACCAGUACUGCUCUUAAAGACGUUGUUGAUACUAGUGUUAUUCCUGUAGAUGAAGGUGGAGGCAAUGGACUUGAAGGACAUGGUGAAGAAGAAGACUAAUUGUUAGCUGACCCUGUAGGUACAAGUAAUAAUUGAUGAUUUGUCUGUUUUUUAUUGUAUUUGUUACCUUUGAAUUGGAAAUGGAAAUCUUAGUUUGAUUCUCGUUGAUGUAGUGAUGUGUUUAGUUGUUAACUUAUUUUAAACUAUUGUGUAGCCAUAUUGCUAACAAAAAC
rnacentral:lncRNA from 1 species